CAGUCGCCGCGGUAAUACGUAGGUGGCAAGCGUUGUCCGGAAUUAUUGGGCGUAAAGGGCUCGCAGGCGGUUUCUUAAGUCUGAUGUGAAAGCCCCCGGCUCAACCGGGGAGGGUCAUUGGAAACUGGGAAACUUGAGUGCAGAAGAGGAGAGUGGAAUUCCACGUGUAGCGGUGAAAUGCGUAGAGAUGUGGAGGAACACCAGUGGCGAAGGCGACUCUCUGGUCUGUAACUGACGCUGAGGAGCGAAAGCGUGGGGAGCGAACAGGAUUAGAUACCCGGGUAGUCCCUGUCUCUUAUAA
rnacentral:rRNA from 1 species